ACGGAAGGCAGCAGUGGGGAAUAUUGCACAAUGGGGGAAACCCUGAUGCAGCGACGCCGCGUGAACGAAGAAGUAUUUCGGUAUGUAAAGUUCUAUCAGCAGGGAAGAAAAUGACGGUACCUGACUAAGAAGCCCCGGCUAACUACGUGCCAGCAGCCGCGGUAAUACGUAGGGGGCAAGCGUUAUCCGGAUUUACUGGGUGUAAAGGGAGCGUAGACGGUAGUGCAAGUCUGAAGUGAAAGCUCGCAGCUUAACUGCGGAACUGCUUUGGAAACUGUACAACUAGAGUACCGGAGGGGUAAGCGGAAUUCCUAGUGUAGCGGUGAAAUGCGUAGAUAUUAGGAGGAACACCAGUGGCGAAGGCGGCUUUCUGGACUGUAACUGACGUUGAGGCGCGAAAGCGUGGGGAGCAAACAGGAUUAGAUACCCUGGUA
rnacentral:rRNA from 1 species